rnacentral:lncRNA from 1 species
UCGUCACAACUCACUACUGCAUAAAUUACUAGGAGUAGUUGCCAAUGGCUCGUGGGAAUUUUACCUGUAACUGGUCGCCUAGGUUGACGACGAGGGCGUUGGGCCGGGGGUCGACGGCGAUCCACUGGGCGCCGUCCUUGAGCACCUGCAGGCCGGAGACGUGGGGGUCCAUGAGGAGAAUGGUGAGGGCGUUGGGGUCCGUGUGCUUGGGCAGGCCGUAGGUGAGGUCCGGCUCGGGGCACCGCGGGUAGUAG